GCCAGACUCCUACGGGAGGCAGCAGUGAGGAAUAUUGGGCAAUGGAGGCAACUCUGACCCAGCCAUGCCGCGUGAGUGAAGAAGGUUUUCGGAUUGUAAAGCUCUUUCGGAUGUGACGAUGAUGACGGUAGCAUCUAAAGAAGCCCCGGCUAACUUCGUGCCAGCAGCCGCGGUAAUACGAAGGGGGCAAGCGUUGUUCGGAAUCAUUGGGCGUAAAGAGUUCGUAGGCGGCACGUAAAGUCUGGUGUUAAAGGCAGAGGCUCAACUUCUGUACGGCACUGGAUACUUGCGAGCUAGAAUGCGGUAGAGGUAAAGGGAAUUCCUGGUGUAGCGGUGAAAUGCUUAGAUAUCAGGAGGAACAUCGGUGGCGUAAGCGCUUUACUGGGCCGUAAUUGACGCUGAGGAACGAAGGCCAGGGUAGCAAAUGGGAUUAGAUACCCGUGUA
rnacentral:rRNA from 1 species